rnacentral:lncRNA from 10 species
UUUGCUUCCUCAGUGGUGAGGACUCAGGAGAGUUUAUGGAGCAUCGCGCAGCAGCAAUGGCAGCGUUUGUCACAGAGAUGUCUCAGAGACUUUGAUGCCACUACUCUAGUGGGCGUGUCUGACACGACCCCUCCAGCUGCCUCCUUCCCAUUCUGGGGUGACAGGCAGCAUUCACAAAUGAACUUGAACUCAAGUGUGGCUGUUUGUUCACAAGUCACCACUGACAGCUUCAAACUUGUCUUCAAACUUACGCCUCCAGGGUUUAAGCCGUUCUCCUGCCUCAGCCUCACCAGUAGCUGGAACUACAGGCGCAUGCCACCAUGCCUGGCUAGUUUUUGUAUUUUUAGUAGAGACGGGGUUUCGCCAUGUUGUCCAGACCAGGUCUUCAACUCCUGGCCUCGAGUGAUCCACCCACCUCAGCUUCCCAAAGUGCUGGGAUUACAGGCAUGAGCCACCGCGUCCAGCCUAGACUUCUAAUUUAUGUCCACAUUGGAGCUCUUCCUGUUCUCUAGUAUGAUGAUAUGGAGGGUAGUGACAGUUGUCAUUGCUUACAGUCAUCCAUUUUUACCUUAGAAUCUUCGAGAAAAAGAUGAAGUAUUAUUCUCAGUUUCGAGAUCAGACUCCUCACCACCAGGCGGGGGCUUUAAGGUAGACACUACAGGGAAUCUGAUCUCAGGGUGAUCCUCUCCCUUCCACUUGCAAAAAGAGAGGAGCAGGUGGGCCACUGCUCUCUGAGAUGUUAACACCCCUCACACUCCACGGGCAUGCUUUGUCAUUCUGCACACCGGUGUAGCUGCAGCUCUGUGUGAAUUCAGAUCUCAAGAGAAAUGUAAAUCAAAAGUAUGAGUUUCUUUCUUUCUUGGGUGCCACAGUAGGAAUGAAAUGAUGGGGACUUUUGGAAGCCCCUGGACUUGUGGCCCCUGUAGAAGAGCAGCUUGGGCAGGGUGUGAUGGCCAUCUCUGUCUCUAGGGGCCCUGUGGAGGAGAGGCUGCAGCUAGAGGCUGGGCCACAACAGUGAAAGCUGCCCCUGAGUGGAAUGUUGUCAGUGUCCCUCCACACUGGGGGGCUGCUGGGUGGGAGGACAAAGCUGUCCUCCAGAGGCUGUGCCUGAGGCUGGGUGAAAGUGGGCACUGUGGCAUGUACCAUCAGACAUGUGCAGUUGACUGUGGUGAGCACAAGGCUACAUUUGCAGCCAAGCCCACCAGAGGACCCAGAGCUAGAGGGUGAUGCUUGGACCCCAUUCUGCAGGGCAGUUUCUCCUCGUAUAGGGUGCAUGUCUGUUUAGGGCCAUGAGAAGCACUGGUUGAGUGCUUAUCAAGUUCCCUGUGCCCGGCCACAUAACUUUAAACCCCCAGCUUAGUGACUGGCUACAAGAGUCAAACUCUGUUCACAAGCCAUGCUACCUGGACUCCUGGUUCCAUUUCUCAGGAGUCUACCAGUGCUGCCUUGCCACUCUGUCCAAGCUUUGUAAGAAUGCCCAGAUGUGUACAAGGAUGACCCAUUUGUGGGCAUGUAUGGCCUAAAGAGCCUGCCCAGCCCCAAGGACUUCUUAGCAGAGCAGGGCCCUUAGUGCAUCUGGGUGGGCCCAGAGCAGCUGCAGCCCUCUCUCCUGCACGGCCAGAGCGACUUAGCUGGGCCCUGCUCUGCCUGCCCUGUGGCCAUGCUUCCAUGGGCUCCUGACUCUCCUAGGGCCUUCUUCUGGAAAGUGCUCAAGAACCGAGACACUAUCACCAAAACUGGAGACUCUGGGAAUAGGAUGUCAUGUGUUAAGCAUCAGAAUGUCCCCUCCAACAAGCUAAGAGUGUCUACUCUUGCCACCCUGUCAUCAUUGUGCUUGAGGUCAAAGCCAGUGCCAGAAGGCAAGAAGAAAUGAAAAACCAUCCAGGCCAGAGGGGAAGAAAUGAAACCAUCUCCCUUUGCAGAUCACAUGAUUGCAUAGAAAAUCCUAGGGAAUCUACAGGAAAGUUAUUAGAACUAAUAAGUGUGUUUAAGCAAGGUCUCCAGAUAUAAGGUCAACGUAACAAAAAUUCAUCAUAUUUAUAUAAUCUAUCUGUAACAGUUGAAAAUUGAAAAUUUUGAGAAAAGUGCCAUUAAUAAUAGCACCAAAAAAAAUGAAAUACCCAAUUAUAAAUAAUAUAAAAUAUGUGCACAUUCUGUUUGCUGCAAACUGUAAAACCAUGAUGACAAAAAGGCUUAAAUAAAAGGAAAGAUACC